AAUAUGCAUUGAUUAAUAUGCAUUGAUCAUAUAUAACUUGAUUACAAAUAUAUAUAAUGAUUAUUUUUUUAAUAUAGGUAAUAAUAUAAACUUUAGUGGAAUUUGUAGUUAUACUUUUGUGUAAUUUUUAGUGUAAUGUUUGGAUUUGUAGCCAAUUUUGGCUUCAACAAACUAUUUUGAUAGCCACAUCAAAACAUAGUACAAUAUCGUAUCUAAUAAUACGUUGUCCUCCUUGCUGCUUAUUUACAUCUUUACGAAGAAAUUCUCUACAUUGAAUUUAGCGUGAGCAGAAGCUUUGUGUAACAGUUCAAUUGGAUUCUCCAAAGAUUCGCCAUUCAACCA